rnacentral:lncRNA from 1 species
UUAGAUUCCAGAUACAAUGCAUAGUGAUGAGGAAAAUGGAGGAAAAUGAAGUGGAAAAUGAGGACCAAAGUGUUAAUGGUAAUGUCAAUGCAAUCGCUAUUCAAAGCAUAAGUGAAAGCGUAAAUGCAGUAGCAGAAAAGUCAACAGAGGGAAAGAUCAAUAUCAUAGAUCCAGGAGGGACUUAGCAUAAUGCUGUGAGAAUGUCUUCAAAGAAGUAUAAAUUGGAGAUACGAAUAAAGAGAAAUUUUCAGACAAGAACCAAGAGAAGACAGUGCAGAUCUAUGCUAGAAGUGAU